rnacentral:lncRNA from 1 species
CUACUGAACACCUGGAUCCUAGGCCACUAGCUCUUCUACUCGCCACAAUACAAACAAGCAUAGUACAAGGGAGAGAUUAACAUCAUACCAAACAUGUAUACAAAAUACAUAUUAACAAUCUACGCAUUAAAACGAGAUCAUAGGAAAAAGAAUCACUAAAUUCGGUGUUACGGAUUUCGAGUUAUGAAUUUCCAAAGGUUUUAUGUGUUUGGUACAGAAUAAAUUAAGUAAACAAUUUUAGUCUAUGUUUCAUAUUCAAGCAUAGAUACUAAGUGAUGAACAAUAUUAAUAUCAAAUUAUUGCAACUGGAAUGGAGUGAAAAGGGAUUAAAAUAGAUUUUCUGGGAACCAAAUGAGUUUCUGGAAUUAUUUAUAUACUAAAAAACAAUUUCUAUAAUCAUUUAUUCAUUUUCUCACCGAGGGUGGAGGUGAGGGCAGUGCCGGACACGGUGGAUAACGGCUGUGCAAACCCGUCACACACCGACGAGGAAUUGAGUCGUCGCCGGGCAGUUGCGCGCGUGUCCAUCGUCCACCAGUACGAUACCCGACCCCAAGCGAACUCACACGAACCCCGACUGAAGUUCCCGCAGUGAGAACCGGGCUGAUUGCAGUGGCGGCGACGAACACCUUCACGACUCUCCCUCUCUAAUGGCGAUGUCGGCCUUUGGUGGUUAGAGUGGCGCGGAAACUCAGCACGUGGGAUGAGCAGGAAGGAUUGCGGAGAGCGCAGGGGGUCUUAUCCCCACGACGCGGCGGACUCGGCCCAGCUGUUCCACAAAUCCCGCAUGGUGGCGGACAUCUCGG